UACGGGAGGCAGCAGUGGGGAAUAUUGCACAAUGGGCGGAAGCCUGAUGCAGCAACGCCGCGUGCGGGAUGACGGCCUUCGGGUUGUAAACCGCUUUCGCCUGUGACGAAGCGUGAGUGACGGUAAUGGGUAAAGAAGCACCGGCUAACUCCGUGCCAGCAGCCGCGGUAAU
rnacentral:rRNA from 1 species